rnacentral:lncRNA from 1 species
CCCCACCCUGCCUUUUGACCUUGCUGGGGGCAUUGUUCAAGUUUACUUAUAGGACUAGGCACAUUCACGUUCCUCUUAUUGUACCUACUGUCUUCCAACUCUGGUCCUUACUCAACCUAGAGAACUUCCCUCUAACUGUCCUUUCCGAAAAUCAGUAUUGGUGGCCAUCGGUUAGGAGCUCUGUGAAGAACUGCUUAAAUUGCGGUGGUCAUGUUAUAGGAAGUGGGGUGUUUGUUUCUGGUUGUCUUGGAGUGAAUUGCAGCCUCAGGUUCGGUCUCUUGUUAUUUUCCCUACAAGGUCACACCAUUGUAAGCAAUAAGGUUAUUAUUUUUCUCCUCCUAUUUUAGCAGUUAUAAAAACACCAGUUUUAAAUGUUCUUUGAAAUGUCCAUGUAUCCACUUCUCAUAUCACCC